CCUGGCAGGAGAUGCCCCGAGGGAUGGAGCCUGGGGGACUGGUCCAGCGGCGGGGGAUGCUGGCAGGAGACGCCCGGGUCGGCGUCUGGCUGCCAGGAGCUGCU